AACACCAAGUUCACUAGGACCCGCGCUACCCCACUCUUUUGUCCUCAUUUACCACAAUCAAAUAUUUCCUUGUUCUUUCUCUAUCCUCCUUUUCUAUGGCAGAGAUUUCCUUGUAGCCAUAGGCAUUUUUGGUCAAAGCAAGAUGCCAAACAACUUUUGAGAAAACCUUCAAGCGUUUGCAGAUUCUGCACCCUUUUUGUGCAAAUAACAUCUCUUUCUUUUCUCUUCCGCAUUUGUGCUCGAUGCCCUGCGAAUCUUUAAUGUCUCAGUCAAAAAUCUCACCAACUCGGGUAAGAACAGAGCAAAUCACGUGAAUCCGUCCAAAAUUCAACGUUCGGAUUCAAACGGGUAUGUUGACAGAAAUUAAAAAAUUUGAAUUUCAAAAUCAGGAGCAUGAACCCUACUUCUUCACCUAUAAAUACUUGCAUUUGGACUAUAUUGGGGCAGAGCUUUUGGAGCCGUUACACCUCUCUUAAAACCCACAAGCUUCAGCUCCCUCCUUUAACCCUUGUUUAGCCGCCAUUCAUACCUCUCAAAAUUUCCUUUAAAUCUCUCAGUCAUAUUGGUUUUUAACCAAACCAGAAGCAUUUCUAUUUAUUUUCCCUGCCGAUUAACGUUGGUUCAAGGUAGCGAGUCCGAGGUCGGAGUUUGAUAGUGCACCUUAGAUACCCGCCUCAGUUCGCUGCCCCGCAAAAGCAAAUGGAGUCUUAAUUCGAAACUCUUGCAAUGAAGUCUCAUAGUGAGGCUCGACGCUACCACCACUGCCAUCUCAUAGAGUCAUCACAUAUUAUCUUCCUUAGGUGUAUCAGGCAUCAAGAAAAACAAGCCUAAUGCUUGGGGAUGCCUAUGGCAUCCUUUUCUUUUACUAUCUAUUGUAUCUAAUAUUUUAUGAUUGUUGAUUUAUUUGUUUGUUUGGUGUGCAUCUCAACUGUGGAUUUAAUCAUCUAGGUUCUUUGUUCUCUAGUACUUAUAUAAUCUUUAGGUAUUUAACAUCACUAAUUUAGUAAC